rnacentral:rRNA from 1 species
AAGCGACCCCAGGUCA